ensembl:lncRNA
GAAGAAAACACUUUGUCUCAGCUGCUGUAGUCAGUGGCAGAGUUAGAUCAGAAUUUAGGUCUCCUGACUCCUAAUCCAGUGCCCUUUCCAUAAGCCAAAUUACCAGCUGAUAAUAUAAACUCUAGCAUUCUAGAUGAUACCUACUUGAGGAAAGAAACUAAGACCAGAAAUUCCCUUGAUGGAAACAUAGAUGAAAACACAGACGAUCAAGUGGUGAAGAACACGGGCUCUGACUUCUGGUGCUGCCUUUGCUAACCAUGUGAUGUAGAGCAAGUUAACCAGUUUCCCCAAGCCUCUGCUUUUUCAUCCAUAGGGAAAAAACAGCACCUUUCUCACAAGCUUGCUGUAAGAACUGAAGUAGGUAAUAUAAGACCUUGAUCACAGGGUUCAGCCUAAGGGCACGUGGUCACACAAAUAAAGAUGACACUUUCCAACCUCCCCUCCAGCUGAUAUGGAAAGACCCAACCAAAGCAACAUGAGCAGAAGCCAUGUGUGUAACUUCAAGUCACAUCCUUAAAAGGAGGCAUGUGUCUCCCUUCCUCCCUUCUGCUGUUUUCAGUGUGAAUGUGGGGAAGAGGCACCUUGGAUCAAGCUGGUGUAGGCCAUACUCUGCAAAGGCAGAGCAAAAUGUCAGCAUGAGCCUGGGUCCCUAGAAGAUCCCAAAGAGCAAAGCCCCCAUACAAGCACUGAAGCACCUUCUUCCAGACUGUUCCAUGGGAAAGACAUUUGCAUUUUGUAUAAGCUACUCUUGAGAGUCCUUUGGACAACAGGGUAAUCAAACCAGUCAAUCCUAAAGGAAAUCAACCUUGAAUAGUCAUUGGAAGGACUGAUGCUGAAGCUCCAAUACUUUGGUCUUCUGAUGCGAAGAGUUGCCUCACUGGAAAAGACCUUGAUGCUGAGAAAGAUUGAGGACAAAAGGAGGAGGGGGCGACAGAGGAUGAGGUUGGAUGGCAUCACUGACUCAGUGGAGCAAACUUUAGGAGAUGGUAAAGGACGCGGAAGCCUGCUGUGCUGCAGUCCAUGGGAUUGCAGAGUCGGACACAACUGAGUGACUGAACAACAAAGCCACUCUUAUUUUGAGUUUCUAUUACAAGCAGCUGACCUCAUAUGCUAGCAAAUAUUACUAAUCAAACUUGAAAUCCAGCUACUUUUCUCACCAUCAACAUACAUUCCUGGCCCCUGGAAAGCUAGAAUAUUCUCUCUAUGUGGUGGGACUCCAGCAGUUUCUACAUAGAUCUAUCUCCCCUACCUCAAACCCUACUCCACCCACUGUCCCAAAGAUUCCUGAAGGCUCUCUCUCUGAAAAAGCCAAGGCUUCCAUCUCUGGUAAAUUAUAACCCCGAGGAGGAAUAACAGACUAUACUAUUAAUCAGUUUUUGUACCUGUGAAAGGCAGAACUGAGAAUGUUCUGCUAAGGAGGGGAAAAAGGCUUUAAAAUAAAAAUGUGGCACCACUGAAAACCCAUAAACCUCACAGAUUUGCCUAAGAUUGGUGUGAGGAUAGAGCCAAACC